rnacentral:lncRNA from 10 species
GGGAGAACCCUGGCUGCUGCAGAAACAGGCUGAAGGGGGAGAAGCUGACAACGGAAGAGUUAACCAGGAAUGUCUGUCUGGCUCUGCUCAGUCGGGAGGAGGCGCCCUGGGCCAGAAUCCUGGCUGCCACCAGCCCUAGGAGUCCUUGAGCAUGCUGAUGCGGGCGUAGAUCUUCAGGGCGGGCCCCAGCUUGAUGUUCAUGGCGCUCAUCAGGUGGUCCUCCUUGAGCAGCAGCAGGGCUUGCCCGUCGAUUUCCUGGGCACGGAAUUCCUCUGCUAUCUCCUGGCAGCCUGAGGGGGUACCACCAAAGACAGUGUCAAUCCAAGCCGCCAGUGUUCACCUCUGGCAGCCACUGCAUCUAGUUAUCUAGAUCUAGUUAUCUGCAUCCAUUAUUUCUUUUAGUCCUCAUAACCACGCCUUGAGGAAGGCGCUGCUGUUCUUAUUUUGCAGCUUGAGAGAGGCUGUGCAACUCACCCACAGCAGCCGCGAUCUGGGCCUCCUCCUAUGUUCCCCUGUUCAGACCCCUGCUCCAUGAACUGGGCGGACCCAUGUCCACUAAAGUGCUGAGGAAGUGACAGCGUGUGAUUUCUGAGGCUAGAUCAUAAAGGGCACAGCAGUUCUCACCUCACUCUUCUGCCUGGGUUACUGCAGAGUAAGCCAGCUACCAGUAAGCCACCCCAGCAACCCUUUGGAGAGGCAUGCGUGGAGAGCAGCCAAGGCCCUGGUGGUCCCCGGCCUCCUUGCCGUGUGAGUGAACCGUGCUGGAAGUGGGUUUUCUGGCUCCAGACCUCAGACACUGCAGCCUGUAUGGCGUCUUCCCUGAGACCUCAUAUGACCUCAAACUCAUACACUGGGUCUGUGGAAGGGAGCAGAUAACCUCUCUGUUUCUAGUUCUUAGACUAAGAGGAACUGGACACCAGGAGCCUCAUACCAGGACUGCCCAGCCGAGCCACUCGAUUCCUGACCCACAUGGCCCUUGAGAUGACAAGUGAUUGCUGCUUAAAGUCACUGAGUUCUGGAAUAAUUUACAUCAUGGCAAUAGGUAACUAAUGCAGAUUCUGGUACCUGGAAAAGGAGUGCUGACAUCAAACAGCUCUAUAGAUGUGGGCGUGGCCUCAGAACUGGCCACAGGCAGGAGCCAGAAGGACUCUGUGGAAAGCGUGAGUGUCUAAGGUGCUUUGAGAGACUGUAUAUAGAAGUCUCAUGGCCUUUAGGGAAGCUGCUGGGGAGGCCUAAAGGAAAGUGAGGAAACUCUUAGUGGAGAUUGGAAGAAACAGGGUCUCUGUUAUGAAAUAAAAGAACAUUUUGUAAAAAUGUGGUUGGUAGCAGAAAUGUAAGUUGAAUGUACCUCAUGAAGUGGGUGGUCUAGCUAAGGAGAUUUUCAGGCAGAAUGUGGAAGGUGUUGCUUGGCUUCUUACUGCUGCUCACAGUAAAAUAGGAGAGAGAGAAGGUAAAAACAAACAAACAAAACUGUUCAACAUAAAGGAACCGGGAUCUGCCGGUUUUAAAAAUGCCCAGCCUCUCCAGAUGGCACAUGAUGCUAACAUUAAGAAAUGGUUUCUAGGCAAAGAUCAAAUUCAGGGCACAGUCAAGAAAACACGGUCUACAGAUUAAACUUAGGAUGUGACUUAAAUCUUUUUGUGAAGACUUCAGAAAGAUCUAAAGUGAUGCCUCAAAGAGCUAUUCAAUCCAAAGGCUCUCGACGGAUUUUCUAGGCAUGCCUCGCAGAUCCUCUUUUCAACAGCAGGGUUUCUAAGAAUGUGAAGGGCACUGUCCAUGCUGCCCCUCAGCUUCAGAAGAAUACCAAUGCAGACAACAGCUUACCCUUGAAGAUAAUUCUGGGUGUGGUUUUUGUCUAAUGGAAUGGACCCCAACAAGAUUCCCAGAAAACCCACAAUUAUUUUAAGAAAUACUGAAUUACUGAUUUUAAGAGUCAAAGGUAGGCCGGGCGCAGUGGCUCACGCCUAUAAUCCCAGCACUUUAGGAGGCUGAGGUGGGUGGAUCGCCUGAGGUAAGGAGUUUGAGACCAGCCUGCCAACAUGGUGAAACCCCAUCUCUACUAAAAUACAAAAAUUAGCUGUGUGUGGUGGCGAAUGUCUGUAAUCCCAGCUACUCAAGAGGCUGAGGCAGAAUUGCUUGAACCCAGGAGGCGGAGGUUGCAGUGAGCCGAGAUCACGCCAUUGCACAAUAGCCUGGGUGAUGGAGCAAGCCUCUAUCUCAAAAACAAAAAACAAAAAAGUCAAAGGUAAUAUAAAAUAAAAAGGAGGAAGCAGGCUGAGAAAACGACUACACUGAAAAUACAGGCUACUUUUCACAGAAAAGGAAGGAGAACUCAGAGGGCAGAACCAAGACAGAAAUCACUCCCAGGCUUUGAGUCCCAAUUGAGGAAAUGCCACCAUAAACCCUAGCGGAUUUCGGAACUGGAAUGGAUCAGCGACUCUUGUACGCUCCCUGUUUCUCCCUUUUUGGAUGGGCAUGUCUGUAAUGGUUAUCCUAUGGCUGUCCCACUGUGCAUUGGGUUUGUGGAAGGGAGCAGAUAGCCUCUCUCUCUAGUUCUCAGAUCUUCAGACUGAGAGGACCUAUACUUGAAGAACUGGACCCCAGGAGCCUCAUCUCACCUCAAUGAUGAGAGCCUGGACUUCAAACUGAUGCUGUCAUGGGACCAAACUGUCGGGGAUUUGGUGGCGGUGAGGGUAUUCUGCAUGAGGAAGGAACACAAAUUUCUGGGGGUCAUGGUGAACUACAUGGCUUGUCUCUGAAUGGCUCCCAAUAAUCCUUGCUUCCCAGUUCAUGCCCUCUCACAAUGAGUAAGACUGACCUGUGUGACCCAUAAGAUAUUGUGAAAAAUUUUAAUUAAAAAAAUAUAUUGUGAAAAUGCCAGUACGUGGCUUCAGAGGCUAGAUCAUAAAGGGCACAGUGGCUUCUACCUUGCACUCCUGGAUCCCUACCUGUGGGGACAUCCCACUGCCAUGCAUAUCAUGAGAACACUCGAGCAGCCCUCUGGAGAGGCCCAUAUAGACAAGAACCAAGGCCUCUUGCCAACAGCCAGCCCAGGGCAAAUCACGUGAGUGAGGCACCUUGGAAGAGAUCCCACAGCUCUUCAGUAUUCACGUGACCUCAGCCUUGGCUGAUAAAUCUUAAUUGUAACCUCAUAAGACACCUGAGGCAGAACGGCCCAGGAAGCCACUCCUGAAUUCCUUACCCACAGCAACUGUGUAAUAAAAAUUUUGGGGAUGAAGAGAUAACAUACUAGGUUAAGUGACAGAGCCAGAAUUUGAACCCAGUUCUGUGUGACUCAGAAGUCUGUGCUCUUAACCACACUGCAGUCUCUUGAGAAAGAGGCUUGUGGUUACCAUGAAUACCUGACCUGGUCGGUGUAUGAGUGAGACUGGCAGAAAAACAGUAAUGCAUCCAGGCCCCACUGAAGGCAUCUGUGAAUGAUGUAAGGCUUGCCUCUUACAGCUGGCUCCUAGAUCCCGGGCCUCACCACCACUUGUGCUCCACCACGCAGGGCUCUGUGCCAUGUCUGGCCAUACCACAGACUUCCCUAUCUUCAUGCCUCUGCAUGUGCGCCCUCUUGCAGUCUCUCCAUCCAGCAAAGGCAUACUUGUCUGUCUACUGUCAUUUAGUUUACAUUUUCUUAAUUAAAUUUUUUUUUUUUUUUUUUGGUAGAGACAGGUCUCACCAUGUUGCCCAGGCUGUUCUCAAACUCCUGACCUCACGCAAUCCUUCCACCUCAGCCUCCCAAAGUGCUGGGACUAUAGGUGUGAGCCACCACACCUGGCUAUUUUCUUAAUUUUGAUGUUCCUGACACAUAUCCUACACUCUACCUGACUCCCCUCCUAAUCUCUCCCAGGAGAGAGAGACAGUUAAUUACAUUAUCAUCUCUGUAUUUCACACAGAUCACUUCCCAUGCCAGAAAAUAUACAGAAUUACAGCUAUGGAAUAUUUAUAGUUUGCAUUCUAUGCUGAAUAUAAGCAAGCUCUUAUAGGCAGGGAGCUCAUCUCACUCAUUUCUGCACCCCAGUUCCUGAACCUGAGUCAUUAACUAAACUACCUAAUCCUCCUGGUGGUGGGAGGGUCUCUCAUUUUCUCUUUCCUUGCUAUUCCGGGGAGACAUGGAAUUUCCAAGGGCCUUACCUGGCAGAGAGCGGAUGAAUUCGUAGACGUCUUCUACAUUCCACUUGGUGGGCUCACUUGGCAGGAAGUGGUGUCCCAUGCCCACCAGGUCCCGCAUAUGCAUGUCGGGGAGCUCCAGGUCCCGCUGGCCUUGUCGCCGGCGGGAAGUAGAUGAGCUGGCUGAGAUGGGUGACAAGGGUUCCUCAUAGCUUGAGUUAUCUGAGCAACGGCUGGAGUCUUCCUGGCUGUGUGUUAGCUGCAAAGCAGCAGUAACCGAAAGGGGCACAGUGCCUGUUGGCUGGGAGCAGAGAGUUUUCUUCAGGAUGGGGGAACAAACCAUCUCUAGCAGCAGUGAUGAACAAAGGAGGUAUUUCUCCUUUUUCUACUUGGCCUACUACUACACAUCUGAGUUCCCAGAUCUAACAGCAUCUUCCAUGCUGUCCUGUCUCCUACCCUAGGCAGAGUUAGUCCCUCUUAGUAUUGUAGUGUCUACCACACAAUACUGCAAUUAUCUUUUUCUAAACAUGAGUUUUAAAGCAGGGCUCUGAGUUCUAGGAGGUGAUCACAGAGCCACUUGAAAUAGCAUGUAACAUUUCUUCUGUACGUACACAGCUUUGGACCAUUCUUAAGGAGGUUUAAGACAAAAAAAAAAUAAGGCAAAAUUAUACAUAAGGUUAUAAAACAUCACACCAUGCUGUGGAGUUCCUUUAAGGCGAGACUGUGUCCUUAGAGCCUAGUGCCUAACAGAGUUUCUGGCAUACAGCUGGUGCUAAAAAAUAUUUAAUGACUGAAUACCCAUGUUCCUGGUAGAGACCUUCAAGAACUCUGUGCUCGCGUGUUCAGGGAGGCAAAAAGGUGGCAAAACAAAGGGUGGAGGCUGCCUUCUCACCCAGCCCUCCACGUAAGGCAGGAGGUUACCUGAGCAGCCCAGGGGAGACCCCAUUUCCGUGGCCCCAGAAGCCAAGGAUGGAGGCAAACUGGAAGGUGGGGUGAUGUUGAGGCAAGGCCACGGAAGGGGGCAGGGAACCUUGUAAGCACCCAUGGGUCUAAAUGAAGGGACCUACUGGGGUGCAGAAGGCUCGACUGGACAGGUCUACAAGGAAUGAGAGCACAGCAGAGUGCGCUGAAGUCGGCAGCUGGAGGGGACCGUGGUGUCGAGGGCCAUGGAAGGGAAGCUGUGGGGACUGUGGGGAUGGAGCUUCAGGCUCUGCCCGCCUCUUACCUGCUUCUUGGUAUCCUUGGUAAGUGGUGGCAGACUGGCUUUGCUGGCCCGACGGCGGUUGUGGGUCGCAGCUCCUGCCUUCUGCAGCUUGCUCCGGUCUGAGUGGAAAAGUCCCACCCGUUUGGUGCAUCCCACGUUGUACCUUCAGGGACAGGGGAACAGGGGAUGUCACAGUAGUCAUUGUGCUUAUGGGCCGUAGGCAGAAUGAGCACAGCCAAGCUGUCUGACAAAUUUUGAGUCCAUCUAUUGGUUCAGAUCCUAACUCCAUCACUAACUACUAGCUGUGUGACUUUGGGUUUAAGUCACUUAAGCCCUGAUCCUCCGUUUCCUUAUCUGGAGUUGGGGGUAAUACCACUCACUUUCUAGGUCUGGUCUUACAACAUGAGAUAAUGUCUGUAAAAUGUUUGAGACACCUGGACUUGGACCAGGGCGAAAGCUCACACCUGACUUAUUCCACUAUAAAUGUUACCCUGUGACGGGAAACUACUGUCCACUGUCCUGCUGGGGAGUGGCCUGGCUGCUCCAACAGCCUGAGGGGAAUGAGGGCUGAAGAUAGCUGAACUCUAGCUUGGCAUGCAGAACACCUCUGUCUGGGACCUAGAGAUUUCUUCUCUUCUGGGAUUUCAGGGCUUCAAGGUCAGCUGUUGCUUCCAUUGUGGUACAAAGACCACACAUGGCUUUAGAAUUGGACAAGCCUAAAUCCCCAGGCCCAUGGCUUAUUAGCUAUGUUAUCUGAGGCACUACUACUCCUUUGUACUUUGGCUUCCUAACCUGUAUAAAGGGGACAAUAGUAAUACCUGUCUUGGGAGUUAUUUUGAAGAUGAGAUAAUCGUAUCAAUUGACUGGCACAGUGACUAGCACACAGCAGGUUCUCAGGAAAUGGCAGUGGUUUUUAUGAUGACCAUUAGUGAUCUAUGCUGGGCGAGAGCUCACCAAGGGAACACUAUAGCUGUGGUUCUGGGUAAGGCUUACCCUAACAAGGCAGGGGCUGUCAAUGCUAGGAAAGGCGAAUGGGUGCCAGUGGAGCCCAGGAGGGCCAGCCGAGCCAAAGCACUGCGGCUUUUCCUUGGACUCCCGCUGCUCUCUCCCACCUGCUCUUAGGGGUUCUGGCUUCUCGUGCUUGUUGAAUUAGGGAUGCCAUCCUGCUUCCAGGUGGGUCGAGGAACUAGGAAACUGGAGAAGCCACCCCUAUGGACCUCCUGGGGUAGACUAUUAAUGGCAGGAGGUGGGACAUAAAGUGCAGUCCUGGGGAAAUGGAGGGGGCUGGGGCCACUCACCUCUUUGCACAAGCCAUGGAACAGAAGCGCUUGGAACGCUUGAACUUAUAGGCAAAGUCCACCCGGCCACAGAGCUCACACUUGAGUUUGAGGGGAGCACCCUCCUCUUUGGAUUCUGAAAAGUAUAGAAAUGGGUAGGGUGGAGAAUGAGAAAUUCCUGCAGGACUGUGGCCAGCCCCACCACGGGGCCUCCCUACUCCAUCCUGCCUGGUCCUCCUGCUCCCACAGCUGUGACAUACAGCAGCAUUCUAGCAUGGAAAAUGCCAGUGGUUCUCACCCCUGGAAUGCACUCAAGGGUGUCUGGGGAUGCCCCUUGUAGACUUGACAUUUUUUUCUUCCACGUGGUCUGAGUCUGAGGCAAAACACAGGUGGGGAAGAAUCAGCAUCAAAUGACUGUGGAAGAAAGCAGGAGCCCCCAGGAAAUACUCUGGAUGCUGUCACAGCUGCUCCGCUGGCAUCAUCACACCUUGAUCUAUGCAGCUGGCUGCUGACCCAGUAAAAGACCUCAGGAGCCCACGCUCCUGCAGCUGUGCAGCUCUGUCAGUGCUUCAUGUGGAAAGAGCAGCCUUGCCUGGUCUCUGCUGUGACCUAGAGCUGGCCCCAGUCUCAAGGCAGGGACGAAGGGCAGGACUUGCCUGGGGCCACUCCUACAGUCAUGCCUAAAACUUGCCAAUGAUUCCCACAGGAAAAGCCAUUCUUGGGAUCCUGUGGUUGGCUGGAGGGGGAUUGGGGGAGCAGAGGACACAUGGUUCCCGUGAUUUCCCCUAUCCCUCUUUUUGAGGGAAGGAGGCUGAGGAGGUGCUGGGGGAAAUGUUUACAGACUCGCUGGCUCAGGGUUCCUCUGGGGAAACAGAGAGAGGAAGUGUGUGAGGCCUGCCUUUCCAGCCACGCUGGGAGGCCGAGAGAUUCAGGGUCUGAGAUGCCCACCUUGCAGAUAGGGCUCCUCCAUCUCCGAGUCAGUGGUGGUGGUGUGAUCCUGCUGUGGAAGUUUCUCAGGCAGGAACCCCUGUGCAUACUUCUUCUUGAGAUUCCCCACCAGCAGGGACGAGCGUCCCACCUAGAGGACAGGUAACACGGAGGCCGUGAGGGUCAGGUGGGAGCGGCUUCCUUGCUAUCCAUCCUCAUCACAAUUACACGUAUAAAGUAUCCAGGCACAGAGGCCAGCCCUCCUCAAACCUUCCCCCAUGUCAUCAUCCAAGUGUGCUGGGCUCAAGGCCCUAUUUUGCUGGUUGGCUCACGAGGUAAGAUGCUAAUGGGCAAAGUACAGGGAUGGCUUCUGUCCAGGACCAACGGAUGGCUCAGGAGAUUAGGAAAAUGUCUAUUCCAGUAAGAGUCUAAGGGCUGAGAUCAGGUUUCCCACAGUGCCAGAUCAAGCACCAAGACCCAGUACCCACGCAUCUCCAGGCAAGGACAGAGCGGAGUCUGUGUGAGGCUGUACAUACGAGAGAGAGACUCAGCACCCAUUUUCUGAUUUUUUUACUGUUCUCCACCUUACCCCAAUGCCUGACCCAAGCCAGAGGUACAGGCCGCCACAGAGUAUAGCAGGAAAAAACAGACCCUGGGCCACAGAGCCAAUGAACUCUCAGUUGUCAGAACCCCAGAGCAGCUUAUUUACGCGUUUAGAUCUCCUUUUGUGGCCUGUGUUUAGGCAGCCUGGUAGCCAGUCACGUGGCACCGACUCUAGGGCAAUGCUGGGGGUGCUAUGCAAUCUGCCUCCACCCCAUGAGAUCAGGUGGUUUCUAGUGUUACUCUAGGAGGCCCAGUCUAACAGGGAAGGGAUGUAACAGAGCGAGAGCCACUUCUAGCUAAGGUGUUCCAGGCAGAUUUCUUUGCCACUGGCCUUGGACAACCUCCAGUGGGAAAGAAGACAAGAAGCUAUGUGUCUUUUGGCAUUUUACAGGAGCAGUUCACCCAUCUCAGUUAAUCAAGCUCCGCGUCUUCUGCAGACUAAUCAAACCACUCAUGGAACCAAAGAAUGAGGAAAAGGCAGAUGGUAUCCCAGAAAGGUGUCUUCUCCAACAGCCAGAUACUUUUCAUCAGAACAGAGGCUGGUGUGCCGCUGGCUCUGGGCUCCUCCACACCCACAGGGCAGCACCACUGUCUCCAGUGCACACUGCACAGAAGCAGCUCUGGGUGCUUUGGUCAAUAACCCAUCUUCGUGGCUCGUGGAUAUUUCUUGUUAGUCUUAGGCUUCCAUCGUGACCUUUCUGAGUGCCCCUCAAUCUCAUUAACUCCCCUUUCAAGGCUCUGUCCCCAGAAAACAAGCUUCAGGUUGUGACCCUGUUUCCUCACAUUCAUUUCUGAUACACGUAUCUGGAGAAUUCUGUUCUGUGCAAUUCCUUUUGUUCCUAACUGGCCGAAGUUUUGCCAUUCAGAGGUUUUGGCAUUCAAAACUCAAUGAAAUCUAAUUUCCCAAAACCCAUCAUCUCUCACCAAAUAUCCCACAGUGAACUCCCUUUUAACCAAGGGUUCACACAUCAACAGGCAGGGACACACCUGAGUUUGUGUGGGAAACUUCUAACCAAGGGUCUUGUCAAUUAUUCCUGAUCACUGACCCCCCUCUUCUGGACCUUGGAAAGAUAAUCCUAGAAAGAAAUGGCUCUAUAUUCUUUGGGGGAGGAAGUUAGCAAGGAAAGAGCAAAUUGUUCACAUUUUCAGAAAUUUUACAUGGAAAUGUAAAAAUAUUCUAAGACACAUCCAAAAUAUACUUAAAAAAAAAAGGGGAAAAGAAGUAGUCCGUACCGGGAAAGGCUCCGCCCCCUCCUGGAUCACAAACCCUUCGAUAACAUGCGUCAGGAUUUGGGGUUUCACAAUGGCCUGUGGUGGUUUAUUCUCACCAUUCUGGGGGGCAGUGCCGGCGAUGCUGGAGGCAGAGUUUCCGUUCCCUGAGGUCAUGCCGGGGCUGCUGAGGUCGGUCAGUGCAUGAACAAUGCCCUGCCCUGUCUCUGCACGAGAGAGAGUAGGAAAACAAAGCAGGGGAGAUCAGAACCAGAGUCCACGCCCAGGGAGGGACAGCAAGGACUCAAACUGCGCCCGGCUUUUACCGUGGGGCCAAGCGACAAUGCAAACCAAGCAGUCCCCUCCCCUCAGUGACCCAUUUAAAAGUGGCACAGUUUCAAUGGACACAUCACCAAGUAUGAGUAUAGUCAGUUCCACAACAACGCAUGCAGCUAAUCAGCUAGCAGUGUUUCUUCAUUUCCCAACCGUGCUAUGAACAGUUAACCCGGAUAAACAGACGGGAAUUCUAUCUUUGAGGAGUUAAGACCUUGGUCGAUACUGAUUUGAACAAAUAAGGUUAAUACUCAGUUUGAGGGAGAAAAGUAUUCAAGGUGACAUCUAAAACCAGGACAAGAAGCUGAGCUAGGUAUAGGGCUUUGAGUGUGAUAAAGAGAAGCUUCUACGAGGUUCCUUAGAGGAGGGAUUUUAAGAGCCCUGUGAAAUGUCAAAACACUGAACCCCAGAAAUUGAUGCCAAGGGAAUGUGGGUGCUGAACCCCAAGUAAAGGCUAUCAUGUAUAUUUGACUAUUCAGAGACUGGUCAUCUGGGGUCAGUGCAUUGAAAUAUGCAGAAAUUCCAUUUCUCUGCUAAGAAGGCUGCUAGGCAGAGGCUGAGAUUUUCUCUGCUGUUUCUGCUGAGCUGAGUGCUCUCAAAAUCAGUCCUCAUGCCCAGAUGUCAGCUUCUUAUCUAAUCUGAUCCUCACCAAAUCAUAGAUCCUCUGUCUCUCUGUGGACAACCUUUCCUAAUUCUCCUUCCCCAUGGGCCUGCUAGCCUUCCUCUAAAAGACCUAACAGAGUGCUCCAGAAAGUGAGAUUACAUGCCUAUACACAACCACACGACAGUGAACUUCCUCUCUUCCACUUCAAACAGCAUCUCUCAUGAGCUGUCUCAUUGUCUUAGACGUGCAAGACUUCAUCUCCUCACUUCUGUAACUCUCUCCCGCCCCCUUCCCAGGGCUGUUCUCUACCACCAUCAACUGCCCCGUGAGCUGAGGCUGCCUUUAACCUGGAACUUCCUAAAAAAGAAAAGAAAAAGCCAUUUCUUUAUUGCAACAAGUCCAUUAAUAUAAAGCAUACCCCAGUGAGGUAUGAGUGAUAUAUACUUUAAAAGUGAUUUCAGCACACUUGUUAAGUAAUCUUUGCAUAAAACUUUAUAUGAAGAUGCUCAUAUUUCAUGUUAAAGAUCCAUAAUACCACCACAGAAUAGGAAUUCUUUGUGCUUAAUUAUAUAGUAUGGAAAAGUCAAAACAGACACGUUUGAGAAAAGGUGGUUUAGGGCCAGGCAUGGCGGCUCACACCUGUAAUCUCAGCACUUUGGAAGACCGAGGCGGGUGGAUCACCAGGUCAAGAGUUGAAGACCAGCCUGGCCAACAUGGUGAAACCCUGUCUCUACUAAGAAUACAAAAAUUAUCCAGGCAUGGUGGUGCGUGCCUGUAAUCCCAGCUACUCAGGAGGCUGAGGCAGGAGAACUGCUUGAACCCAGGGGGUGGAGGCUGCAGUGAGCUGAGAUCUCGCCACCCCCCUCCAGCCUGGGCGACAGAGCAAGACUCUAUCUUGGGGGGGGAGGGGGGGAAAGAAAAGAUGGUUUAUGACUAGUUCAUAAUGGGUCUUGGUCCACUCAAGCUCAUGUUUUUGUUGUUGUUGUUGUUGUUGUUUUUUUUUUUAGAUGGAGUCUCACUCUGUCACCCAGGCUGGAACGCAGUGGUGCGACCUAUGCUCACUGCAACCUCUGCCUCUCAGGUUCAAGCGAUUCUCCUGCCUUGGCCUCCUGAGUAGCUGGGAUUACAGGCACGUACCACCAUACCCGGCUAAUUUUUGUAUUUUUAGUAGGGACUGGGUUUCACCAUGUUGGCCAGGCUGGUCUCGAACUCCUGAUCUCAGGUGGUCCACCUGCCUCAGCCUCGCAAAGUGCUGGGAUUACAGGCAUGAGCCACCGCGCCCAGCCUCAAGCUCAUGUUCUUACUGGUGGUUCUAAUGCUAACUAAACCAGGAUAAACCUUUAAUGAACAAGAGUUGACUAUGACUCAUGUCUUUAGUACUCAGUCCUCCAUAAUUCAGCUACAUAAUAAACUUCUGAGCUGAGCAGGGGCCAUCUAAGAGAAAGGACCAAUGAAGUUUUUUUUGUUUGUUUGAGACACAGUUAUACCAGUAAGUUAGAAAGUUUCCAUUAAGUGCCUAUAUUCACUUGAAAAAAAAUUUUUAAACAGCUUUGGCUUUUCUGUAGAGAUGGAAACAUUUCCUUUCUUUUAGAAUUAGUCUUUCCAAUUGCAAAGGUGUCUGAGAACUUGAGAGCUUGUCUGGAGGUUCUAGCAGGGGAG